GACGGGUGUUAGGCCAUUGCCCGCGCUUAAAGAAAAUGUGAAGAGAGUGAUGUUUUAUUGUUAGGAAGAAGAGAUAACAAGUGAGUAGCAAAUGUAACAAAUAGUAAGUAGGGGGUUCAGUUCAGACCACAUGAAUCUUUGUUUGUAAAUGUAUGUUGAUCAUCCUAGGUUAAUUGUCAUGUUAGUUUUAAUGAUGUAAAGCGGCU
rnacentral:misc_RNA from 1 species